AACUGCGAGUGAAGCGGGAAAAGCUCAAAUUUAAAAUCUGGCGGUCUUUGGCUGUCCGAGUUGUAAUUUAGAGAAGUGUCUUCCGCGCCGAACCGUGCAAAAGUCUCCUGGAAUGGAGCGUCAUAGAGGGUGAGAAUCCCGUCUUUGGCACGGAUGCUCGGUGCUUCUGUGAUGCGCUCUCGAAGAGUCGAGUUGUUUGGGAAUGCAGCUCAAAAUGGGUGGUGAACUCCAUCUAAAGCUAAAUAUUGGCGAGAGACCGAUAGCGAACAAGUACCGUGAGGGAAAGAUGAAAAGCACUUUGGAAAGAGAGUGAAACAGUACGUGAAAUUGUUGAAAGGGAAACGCUUGAAGUCAGUCGCGUCGACCAAGACUCAGCCUUGCCUCGGCUUGGUGUUCUUCUUGGCUGACGGGCCAGCAUCAAUUUCGUCCCUCGGAUAAUGGCAAGGGAAAGGUGGCACCCUCACGGGUGUGUUAUAGUCCCUUGUCGCAUGCGAGGGGUGGGAUUGAGGAACUCAGCACGCGCCUCUAGGUGUCGGGGCUUCGGCCC
rnacentral:rRNA from 1 species